AUGAGAUGUGUUCAUUUAUUUGCUAGUGACUCUAUUUUGCUGCUUCUUCUCUUUUGAUUUUGCCCAGCAGUGACUGACGCCACGUCUAUAAAAGGAAAGUGCCCAUUGAAAUGGAAAACAGGGAUUUUUAAACAGGCUCGACAUGAAAGUUGAGAUCUCGUCUCCAUGUACUGUAUACGCUCGCCUGCCAGGUCUCAGGAUCUUCGUUCGGAACCUCUGGUCACCUGAGGUCACCUUGGUCUUCAGCAUCUUUGUGAAGGUAGACAAGGAAUGACCCUUAAUAAGGGUAUUUCUGGAUUAUACUCUCUAUAUCAUAUUUAAGCCAAGGGGAAAUAACUGUGGGGAAUAUUUGCUACCUAUCUGAUAUAUGCUAGGCUCUAUUUGGCAUUUUAAGUAUAUUGCUUCAUUUAAUCCUCAUUUGACCCUGUGAGGUAAGUUGUGCUGUGUUUGCUGUACGGAUGAGGCAACUGAUGUGUAGAAUUUAAAGAUUUGUCAAGGUCAAGGUCAUGCAACAGGUCAGGAUCAAAACGUCACCCCCUGCCCCUCUGACUCCAAAGCUUGUCCUCUAAAAUACUGCAUUUUCCUAAACACUCUUGAUCAUGACUCAUUUCAGUCCAGCUUAUGGGGUAAAGCUCUCACCAAUUUGUUCUUAUAAAUAUUUACUGUUUUGAAAUCAUGUGUUAGGUAUUGUGGG
rnacentral:lncRNA from 1 species